GGAGUAGGCCAGGCGAUCGCCGGUUCGAUUCAUCGAACGGGAGGAAAGUCCGAACACCACAGGGCAGGGUGCUCCAUAACGUGGAGUCGUGGCGACGCGAAGGAAAGUGCAACAGAAAGUAAACCGCCCCGCCAAGGCGGGGUAAGGGUGAAACGGUGCGGUAAGAGCGCACCAGUUCCCCGGGUGACCGGGGAAGCUCGGCAAACCCCACCUGGUGCAAGACCAAAUAGGGAAGCGUUUGAGGGCUGCCCGUCCAAGCUUCCGGGUAGGUCGCUUGAGAUGCCGGGCAACCGGCAUCCUAGAGGAAUGAUCGCCGUCCCGCUGUCGGGUAACCGGCGCUGGAAACAGAAUUCGGCUUAUGGCCUGCUCCGACC
rnacentral:RNase_P_RNA from 1 species